AGUAACGCGUGGGCAACCUGCCUCAUACAGGGGGAUAGCAUCGGGAAACUGGUGGUAAAACCGCAUAAGCGCACGGGAACGCAUGUUUUGUGUGAAAAGGAGAAAUCUGGUAUGAGAUGGACCCGCGUCUGAUUAGCUAGUUGGAGUGGUAAAAGCACACCAAGGCAACGAUCAGUAGCCGGCCUGAGAGGGUGGACGGCCACAUUGGGACUGAGACACGGCCCAGACUCCUACGGGAGGCAGCAG
rnacentral:rRNA from 1 species